CAUGCCCAUCCUAUCCCUCUUCUCUCUCCAAGUCACGAAUUAUACUCUCCACAAUUAACCACCCCUUUCAUUUUCACGGGUCUCUCUCUUUCUCUCCUUUGUGAAACCAGUAGCCGACAUCUCCACCUUCUCUCUUCAUCGGUUUUUUCAUUAUUCAAUCAAUAACCACGCUGAAGAAUCGGAAACCAUAACGAAGACCAGUAGACCUCCAUGAAACAUCCUCCAUGAUCAGAGUCGACUCCUCUAUUCUCUCUCUGCAAGCCGUCAACCUCCAUGAAACAACCUUUAUAUCUACCUCCAUGAGCCGUCAACCUGCAUAAAACAACCUGCAUAUCAUCCUAGAAAGGCCGCCUAGCGCCCAACUACCCCCGCCCAGGAGCCCAGUCGCCCGCCUAGGCCACCUAGGCGGCUGCCAAACCCACAUCCGCCCAACAAAGCCGAUUUGGCAUUAGUCGACUCGGAGAGCUGCCGCCCAGCGCCUAGGCGGCCUGGGCGGCUGAGUUUUAGAUCACUGCGUGUGACGCAUGUGAGUCACAAAAUGAGGGCAAAAAGACUGAUUUACCAUUUAUUUGACAUUUUACUUAUUAUUAAUAAUAUAUACCUAUUUACUUUUUUUUUAUCCUCUCCACCUCUCGUCUCUUCCUUUGCACUCUCGCCAGUCCCCCUCCCUUCAACUUCCUCUCUUCAACUUUUUCUUUUGAUCUGACCAAGAGUUUUAGUGACUCACAAAUGGAUCAAACUUGUAAGACCCUUUUCUUGCCUCCUCUCUUUCCCAAUUUCUGCUUUCAGCUCUUCAAUUCUGACCCAAUACAAGUUGAAGAAAAUUGUUGCCUACAAGGUCGUCGAGUCCGGCAUGAUCUUUGGCCUUGGCUCCAACUCCACCAUCAAACACCCUGUGGAUCGCUUGGGCGAGCUUUUACAACCGGGAAAAGUUCACAACAUCAUCGGAAUUUCCGAGAACACCCACCAACAAGUCAUUGAUAGGAGCAUAUUUAUGCAACGUUUUCCGAAGCAAAUUAGGAAAAGAAGGCUUAAAGAAGGAAAGUGCGUGGAAUUUUGAUUCAACAAGGAUUUUCGAUGGAUUAUGACUUUUCUUUGAAGUAAAGAGUUAGAGAUCCACAAGGAAACAAAGUGGAAGAGUUUUAAGACGGAAUAAAAGGCUUUUAAAAGUCACAAUCAAGGGCGAGAACGGAGAAGAGAAGCAAGAAACCAUUGAAGCAACUCAAGGAGAAGAAGUAAAGUUCGGAGCCCACAAACGAUCGAUCGUCAGAUGCCAUCAACUUUGAGAUCAAUCGAUCGAUCAUUUGCCAUGUUUUCCAUCUUUUUGAUUCUUUCUUCUUUCCAAAACUCAUGUAUUUCUUUUGUAUGUUUUCCAAGAUGAUGAGUAGCUAAUUUUCUUUUAGUUAGGGGCUGCUUUCAGCCCUAGACAUGGUGUAACUAUGAUGUUGGUGUUUAUUUAAUAAGUUCUUUGGAUUUCGGAUAUUCAUUGAUUUAUUGUUUGCUCA